AGUGAACGCUGGCGGUAGGCCUAACACAUGCAAGUCGAACGGCAGCACAGUAAGAGCUUGCUCUUACGAGUGGCGAGUGGCGGACGGGUGAGGAAUACAUCGGAAUCUACUUUUUCGUGGGGGAUAACGUAGGGAAACUUACGCUAAUACCGCAUACGACCUACGGGUGAAAGCAGGGGAUCUUCGGACCUUGCGCGAUUGAAUGAGCCGAUGUCGGAUUAGCUAGUUGGCGGGGUAAAGGCCCACCAAGGCGACGAUCCGUAGCUGGUCUGAGAGGAUGAGCAGCCACACUGGAACAGAGACACGGUCCAGACUCCUACGGGAGCCAGCAGUGGGGAAUAGUGGACAAUGGGCGCAAGCCUGAUCCAGCCAUACAGCGUGGGUGAAGAAGGCCUGCGGGUUGUCAAGCCCUUUUGUUGGGAAAGAAAAGCAGCAGGUUAAUACCCCGCUGUUCUGACGGUACCCAAAGAAUAAGCACCGGCUAACUUCGUG
rnacentral:rRNA from 1 species